CCUACGGGAGGCAGCAGUAGGGAAUUUUCCGCAAUGGGCGAAAGCCUGACGGAGCAAUACCGCGUGAGGGAUGACGGCCUGUGGGUUGUAAACCUCUUUUCUCAAGGAAGAAGUUCUGACGGUACUUGAGGAAUAAGCAUCGGCUAACUCUGUGCCAGCAGCCGCGGUAAUACAGAGGAUGCAAGCGUUAUCCGGAAUCACUGGGCAUAAAGCGUCUGUAGGUUGUUUAGUAAGUCUGCUGUUAAAGACUGGGGCUUAACCCCAGAAAAGCAGUGGAAACUGCUAGACUCGAGUGUGGUAGAGGUAGAGGGAAUUCCUAGUGUAGCGGUGAAAUGCGUAGAUAUUAGGAAGAACACCAAUGGCGAAGGCACUCUACUGGGCCAUAACUGACACUGAGAGACGACAGCUAGGGGAGCAAACGGGGUAUUAGAUACCCCCGGGUAGUCCUAGCCGUAAACGAUGGAUACUAGAUGUUGCCACGUACUUAACCGUACGUCAGUAUCGUAGUACGUAGGUACGUUAAGUACUCCGUCCGUCGGUAGGUACGCGUCGCGAGAGAGAACGACGUAAGUAGUAGUUAGACGUCGUUGAGACGNGCCGACGGCGACGACGAGGGAGGAGG
rnacentral:rRNA from 1 species